UGGGGAAUCUUGGACAAUGGGGGAAACCCUGAUCCAGCGACGCCGCGUGACUGACGAAGGCCUUCGGGUCGUAAAAGUCUUUCGGCGGGGACUAUAGUGAAGGUACCCGCAGAAGCAGGAGCGGCUAACUACGUGCCAGCAACCGCGGUAAUACGUAGGCUCCAAGCGUUGUUCGGAAUUACUGGGCGUAAAGCGAGCGUAGGCGGCUUGCCAAGUCGAUUGUGAAAUCUCCCGGCUCAACCGGGAGGGUGCGGUCGAAACUGACAAGCUAGAGUCCGGGAGAGGAGAGUGGAAUUCCUGGUGUAGCGGUGAAAUGCGUAGAUAUCAGGAGGAACACCGGUGGUGAAGACGGCUCUCUGGACCGGUACUGACGCUGAGGCUCGAAAGCGUGGGGAGCAAACAGGAUUAGAUACCCCCGUAGUCC
rnacentral:rRNA from 1 species